rnacentral:rRNA from 1 species
UACGGAGGAUGCGAGCGUUAUCCGGAUUUAUUGGGUUUAAAGGGUGCGUAGGCGGGAUGCCAAGUCAGCGGUAAAAAUGCGGUGCUCAACGCCGUCGAGCCGUUGAAACUGGCGUUCUUGAGUGGGCGAGAAGUAUGCGGAAUGCGUGGUGUAGCGGUGAAAUGCAUAGAUAUCACGCAGAACUCCGAUUGUGAAGGCAGCAUACCGGCGCCCUACUGACGCUGAGGCACGAAAGCGUGGGUAUCGAACAGG